AUGAACGCUGGCGGCGUGCCUAAUACAUGCCAGUCGCGCGAACAGACGAGGAGCCUGCUCCUCUGACGUUAGCGGCGGACGGGUGAGUAACACGUGGAUAACCUACCUAUAAGACUGGGAUAACUUCGGGAAACCGGAGCUAAUACCGGAUAAUAUAUUGAACCGCAUGGUUCAAUAGUGAAAGACGGUUUUGCUGUCACUUAUAGAUGGAUCCGCGCCGCAUUAGCUAGUUGGUAAGGUAACGGCUUACCAAGGCAACGAUGCGUAGCCGACCUGAGAGGGUGAUCGGCCACACUGGAACUGAGACACGGUCCAGACUCCUACGGGAGGCAGCAGUAGGGAAUCUUCCGCAAAGGGCGAAAGCCUGACGGAGCAACGCCGCGUGAGUGAUGAAGGUCUUCGGAUCGUAAAACUCUGUUAUUAGGGAAGAACAAAUGUGUAAGUAACUAUGCACGUCUUGACGGUACCUAAUCAGAAAGCCACGGCUAACUACGUG
rnacentral:rRNA from 1 species